rnacentral:rRNA from 1 species
GAGUUUGAUCAUGGCUCAGGAUGAACGCUAGCGACAGGCUUAACACAUGCAAGUCGAGGGGUAACAGGGUAGCAAUACCGCUGACGACCGGCGCACGGGUGGGUAACGCGUAUGCAACCUGCCUAUAACUGGGGAAUAGCUCCCUGAAAGGGGAAUUAACACCGCAUAACACUAUUGAUUCGCAUGGAUUGGUAGUUAAAUGUAGCGAUACAGGUUAUAGAUGGGCAUGCGUGACAUUAGCUAGUUGGUGAGGUAACGGCUCACCAAGGCUACGAUGUCUAGGGGUUCUGAGAGGAAGGUCCCCCACACUGGUACUGAGACACGGACCAGACUCCUACGGGAGGCAGCAGUGAGGAAUAUUGGUCAAUGGGCGCAAGCCUGAACCAGCCAUGUCGCGUGCAGGAAGACUGCCCUAUGGGUUGUAAACUGCUUUUAUAGUAGAAGAAACACAUCUACGAGUAGAUGUCUGCCAGUAUACUAUGAAUAAGCAUCGGCUAACUCCGUGCCAGCAGCCGCGGUAAUACGGAGGAUGCAAGCGUUAUCCGGAUUUAUUGGGUUUAAAGGGUGCGUAGGCGGGACUGUAAGUCAGGGGUGAAAUACUGCAGCUUAACUGUAGCAUUGCCUUUGAAACUGCCGUUCUUGAGUACAGUU